GGAGAGAGAAUUACCCAUACGACGUGGGCUAAUUCACAUACACGCACGCACCGAACUGAAUCACACAUAACGUCAGUCACGAGCUCGAUUUCUGUAACUCAAGUGAAAACACCCACCCAAUUGAUACAGCACUGAGACUAACAUGAACGCCAACUGGAGUACUGAACCUGUCAACCACUGCCUUUCUGAUUUUUCCAACACGAAUAGAAAUGUACAAUAAACCAUUAAUUUAUCGUUAUCGUAGAGUAUGUUGCCGUACGUACGUGUGUCUUUACAAGUAGAAGUAUGCAGAUAAUACGUGUUUUUUUACACUGGAAUGACACCAGCAAAGAACGUGUGUUGGACGAUGAAUAAUGUAUACGCUUAUUCGUGUAUAUCUAUAUGAAUGUACGUACGUAUUGAUAUGUAGGUAUGUAUAUUACAUGCAAACUUGUGACAGUUCUCGAGAGUUGUAAGUACGACGCGGAGAGUUGUCGUUGGUCGGUAAUUAUUGUAUGUUCGGUAAGAAAAUAAUUUGUUUAAUCGCCUGCAUUCUUCGGGUAGGUGAACUGUGGAGCUUGACGAGAGAGGGCAACCAAUUACACUGAUUAUAUCGGUGGCUGAUAGAUGCGAAAAAAAAAACUACAUACGAAGAAACUUUAUGCUGGCGAGAUUAUCUUGAGCCUAACCUACGUUAACGGGAUUGAGAUGACACUGUCUGUAGGCACAACGCGCAAUUGGAGUUUUAACGGACACUUUUGGGGGUGGAUGAAAUUUGAUUAUAGUACUUUAAAUGGAUGAUAUUAUUACCAGUUGUUAGGUUGUUUGUUUGGUUUGACACACGUAAAAGGAAUGCAAGCAAGUUUUAAUAAACAGAGGGGUUUUUUGGAGAUCUACCAACUUCACUUCCCUUUUACUCUUCCACUCGCUUGAGCAGCGCACCCUCCUCCACUAUUCACGAACAUACCCGUCAAAA